rnacentral:lncRNA from 1 species
UAAGCCAAAAAAGCAGCUGCGAAAGCUGUAGCUAAAGCCGGAAGCCAGAUCUCCAGCUCUGUGGCCUGAGAGACAUACCACUGCCUUAACAGGGCAGCCGGCGUUUCCCCGAGUGAAGGGCAAGCACUGGCUGACACUGGUGGCUUCGACCCGACGUGGCUGACACUGGUGGCUUCAACUUGACGUCAUCGCGGCCCUACAGCGCUGGUGGCGGCGUCCAGCUGCAGAAAGGGGACAAGGGCUCGUGUCAAGCAAUAGGCUUCUUCUUGCUUUCCUGCUUCAGUGAAUGCCUGCAAGAGAAAAUCUGGUCAUUUAAAAGGCCACAGAGUUACACUGCAAAGGUGAAGCUUGUGCCAAACAGUUUUUGAGAAGAGUGGCAACAGUAAGUUCUAGUUAAUGGUAUUUAGUUAAAGGUAUUUAGUUAAAAAUAUGUUAUUUGUAAUUCAUAUAUCAUAAAUUACACUGCAUUUGUACCUUUGGAAUUAUUUAGGGACAAUUACAAAGAACAGAUGCCUGCUCUUAAAACCUAAAGAUGUUUUGACACCUAAUGCCUUAUGUGUGUAAUUUUAAUUGAUUUUUAUUAUUGUACAUCCUUACUCCAGUAAGUCAUUGUCUUCAGUCCGACUGCUUAUUGAAUGAAAGAUAGUCAUUGUGUAGGGAUAUUCAGAAUAUAAUUUUGUUACUAAUACAUGAAUGACACUGGAAAACAGAAGAUUGAGAUUUAGC